rnacentral:rRNA from 1 species
AAUUUAUGUGUACUUAUAGGAGAUAAAAAAAAGACAAUAGCGUUUUAUCUGCCUUUUGUAUCAGGAUGUAUUUAAAUAACUAAAUAUAACUAAUUCUCGAAUCCCUCACGAGCUAAAUAUCUUCUAUUAAAUAAGACUUUAUUUGUGUUAGAAGUGAAACUCUACGAGCAGGGUUAACUAGUUGUGGUUUAUUAGGGGAGUAAGUCUCUUUUUUACUAGCAUAGUUUAUAAAUAUACAAAAAUUAUCUUUUAUACUAAGUAAAUUAACUAUUUAUUAUAAAUAAUGUUUAGUUACUGUAAAAUAUAGUUAUUAACCGCUAUGCCUAAAAAUAAACUAAAGAAAUUUACAAUUAUAUAAUUAUUACCUGCCUUUUACUUAUUAAAGGAACUCAGAUCGCUGUUGAAUGUUUAACAAAAACUUUUCUUUUUGUUGGUUAGAGGGUACGGCCUGCCCAGUGAAUAUUAAACGGCUGCGGUAUAUUGACCGUGCUAAGGUAGCAUAAUCAUUUGGUUUUUAAUUGGAGUCUGGAAUGAACGGCUUAACAACUGGUUUUUAUCUAAAUAAGAUUGAAUAACUUGGGCUUUAAGUAAAAACACUUAAAUAAGAGAGAGGGACGAUAAGACCCUAGAAGCUUUAUAAUUACACUAUUAUUAAUUUUUUUAUAAAAAAGUAAUCUAUAAAUUAUUUGACUGGGGCGGUAGUAUUACAUACACUAAUAUUUUUUAAGACAUUAGGUUCAAAGGUCCUUUAUAUAGGGAAAAAUAGAAUAAGUUACUUUAGGGGUAACAGCGCAAUGUUUAUGGAAAGUUCUUAUUUAUAUAAACGAUUACGACCUCGAUGUUGAAUUAAAAUAUUCUUAUAGAGCAGCUACUAUUGGGAAAAGUUUGUUCAACUUUUAAAUUUUUACAUGAUUUGAGUUCAAAUCGGUUUAAGCCAGAUUGGUUUCUAUCUUCUCGAUAGGAUAAACCAGCUUAGUACGAAAGGACCAACUGGUGUUUA